rnacentral:lncRNA from 1 species
UACUGGGGAGAUGCUAUGGUAUGAUCGUGUUUCUUUGAAUUUCAUCAAACACUAAAAUUAGUAAAUGAACUAUAUUCAACGGGCACAAUAUGUUUGCACCGUGUUUUUUUACCUAUAACGUGAAAGAACAUUUGCACUCCAAACAUGCGUAAAACUUUGAUGCACCUUGAUUAAAUCCACAGGACAUUUGCAAGAACUUAAAUACGUCAAUGAUAAAGCUAUGAAAAGUCGAGGAAGAACAUUUUCCCGCCAAAAUUUCAAUAGCAAAUAUCUCGAAAACAAGCACAUUGACCUAUAUAUUUUUGUUGCACAAUUGGUUCCUUAAUAAAACCGCAAGCGUCCUUUUAAAAAGGCGCAAACUUCUCGUGUCAAUUCAGUUGUGAUGGUGUUGAUUUUAAUAAGAUUAGUACGUGAAGAUUUUGAGAAUUUUAAUGUAGGACUAUUUAUGACAGGCCUUUGAAAUCGGUAAACAAAAACUUCAAAACAAAUUGCCAGUAUAUGGACAUGAAGUUUCAAAGUGCAUUUGUCAUUCUGUGUUUUUAUUUACAGAAUCAUGUCUUUUUUGCAGUUAAACUAUUUGAAUCUACGUAAAAAGAAUAUUGCUCAUGAAUAUUUAUAAGGUACCUGUCAAAACAACGUGUAGUGUUAUCCUUUGACAUCACAACAAAUUCAUUACCGCCUAAAGACAUUGGAAGUUCAUUCAUGCGGUUGGUCAAUUCGCUUGGUGACGACAGUCACGUGCAGAUAGCCCGGAGUCGGUGCAUAACGAGCAAUAAACUUUUACAUCAUUACAUCUACAAAACUUGGUGUAUUAGGCAUAUUAUGCAAUGCAAUAUGCAAAUGCGCGUACAAAAAUGGGGAAAUACAUCUCCAUGAUUAAGGUAAUAAAUCAUGACAAUUUUAUUUUGUCAGACGACCAAAACAACAAAC